CUCCCCGACAUUGGCCACCCACCCGGCCAGCUGGAGAGGCACGGACUUCCCGGCACCCUCUAGAGCACUAACAAGUGCACGGCGUGGACGGAGGUGCUGAGGUCCCGCCGCCCUCGGGAGCUCACAGCCGGCCAGAGAAGGGGCAGUGCCGCGGGCGGGCAGUCAGGGAGAGCGCCAGGAGCCACCUGGGUGGUCAGCGAUGACGCGUCCUCCGUGUGCCUCCCCCAGGGCAGCGCGGGGAGCACCCGGAGCACCAAGCCAGGAGCGGGCUCCGUAGCGGCGCCGAAGCAGAGCCUGCGGGAGGAGGAGCUGCGCGCGCAGCACCGGGCCGCGCUACUGCGCCUGCGCCGGAUGGCGCUGGAGGAGAUGGCACGCGCCGAGCUGGCCUGGCUCGAGCAUCUGCGAGGGUGAGUGGCUCGCAGCCGGGUCCACCCGCCCACGGGCCCCGCCUGGUAGAACUCGCCUCAUCCAAUAGCCACGCCCAUUCGCCGCACUGGCUCCACCUAUCCAAGAAGGCCCGCCCACGCAUUUGACCACGCCCCCCAUGGCCGGGCGGCCCCGUCCAGUCCUCCGUGAAUAACUGUUGAUUGUAGUAAUGAAUAGGUGUUUGCAGAAAAGGAGAUAAGGCUUUAAAGUGUCCCCAAAACAAACAGUGGACACCACCCACGGCCCUCCACAGGUCUGUGCACAGGUUUGCAGGGUACUUGUCUCUGUGCCCCUAGACUAAAAUGCCAGGAGGCUCUCCACGCUUCCCGGAGCCGAGCUGGCAAGCACUCUUGCGGAGCUUUCCUUAGGGGGAACUCAGAAGUGGGGUCCCCCGCGGUGAGAGCCCAGGCCAAGACUCCUGACAGUGCACGGGCCUAGGCUGUGGGGAGCCCCACCUGAGCCCCUCUGGCCUGGCUCCCAGAGCCGGUGGAGCUGGUGUCUGUCAGGUGGUCAGUCAUGGGUGGGUGGCUGUGGAGCCUGCCCAGCACGGGUGCCUCUCUGUGGCUUCCCACGGCCACCUGCAGGCCUGUGGAGCUGACCUUGACCUGCCGCUCCCCCAGGUGUCUGGGGAGCCCGGGCCACCGAGCCACAGGGGCUGCCGUGUGGGAGAGGACAAGGCAGGCCCUCAGCAGGCUGGAGAAGGGGCGGCAGAGUCCCAGCCCUAGAGUCAAGGCGGCCUGGGAAGCCCCCUCUGAGACAGGCCCACUGGAGGGAGCCCCAACACCACGCAGGCCUGGCAGCCCUGCCAGCCCACGAGCCCAGAGAGGCCCUGAGAAUGCGGAGGUCAUAUGCCUGGCCUCUGAGCACUGGGAGGGGACACCUGAGACGCCCUCAGAUGCCGAUGGCCACCAGCAGCCUCCGAGGCUAGCCUGGGGAGAGGACACAGCCAAGGCCAGCAGCCCGCCCGAGGACAGAGGCAGUCCUUUAGCCCAAGAGUCUUUCAUCCCCCGGCUGGACCAUCGGCACUCAGGCUUGCUGGACCCUGGACAGCUGCUGGACUCAGCCUCUCCUGCCCUCGAGGCAGAGGGAGGCGCCCCCAAAGCUCAGCCUGGGCCACAGGAGGCACCGGAGCCACCCCCAGGGGCCCCUCAGACACAGCCCAGAGCCUGCUGGCCCGGGAAGAGGCCCCCGACUCGCAUGGGUGGCUGCGCUCGCGGCUCCCAGGGGCCAGGCCUUGGACGCCCGGGAGCAGAUGGUCCUCCGGUUGCCCGGGAAGCACGUCAGCUCCUGCAGCCCUGGAGGAGGAGGCAAGAAUGCUUGUGUACCUGGGCUCCGGGCCUGCAGCUGGGCUCCCCUUGGGGUCUGCAGGGUCCCCAGCGUCGUCCCCCAUGUCCUCAGCAGGCUCUGCGUGUGACUUGUCCUGCUCCUCCCUCCAGGAGUUUCAGAAAGCCACAGCCACCCUGGUCCAGCUUUCUGACGGCUCCCUCUCCCUGUCUGGCCCCGAGGCCGAGGGCAGCCGGGCCACAGAGCCCAGCUGGUCCGAGGAGCUGUCUGCUCACGAGGACUUUGCCCCACCCUUGUUUUGGGGGCUCCACCAGGGUGACCCUCAGCCGGGUGCUGUUCCUGGGGGUGCAGGGCCGGUGA
rnacentral:lncRNA from 1 species